UUCGGCAUCCAGGGUGGUCUAUCAUCACCAUCUGAACAAGAAAACCGGCUCUGGGAACCUGUUCAUCCCAGCCUGAUGCAAGACGGACUCCAUCGGAGCCUGGGUGAUGGUGGGGCCCCUCGGCCGCGGGUGAAGCAGACGCCCUGGAGUCGGCUUCGAGGCAGACUGGGGGUGCUCCAGGACACUUGGCCGAGGAGCAGAGACCUGGCCAUGUGAAGACUUGACUUCACUCGGAUCUGGAGGCGAAGGAGGAAGCGGUGUGUGGAUCCGGCUAGGUGCGUAGUCGGUCAUCAGAAGUGCCUGCCCCUUCCCCAACUAGAUGACCAGAGGCCCUGACAAGUUCCGCUAAUUUACAAACACACAUUCGCACCCCUACAACGCACGGGCUUCUGAAAAUGUGCAGAUGGGAAAACUGAGAAUCGGAGAGGAGGAGUCACAGUGGACAGGAAGCCACGGGGGCUUGCUUGCUCUGCACGGCACUGGGGUGACACGUUAUCUUCAUAUGGCAGCGGCCCUUUCACUGAUUCAUCAAAGGUGGAUUCAUGGAACGUCCCCUUACUCACCAGGAUCCAGGCUGCAUACACUCCAGGCCCCUGGCCAGUUCCCAGGCUGACAGGAGAGGCAAGAUGAACAAGUUGGAAUCAUCUAACUCUUGGAAUGCGUACUGGAAGACUCCUACACCACUGCCACCAGCAAAACAACCAGCAGCGUUUCCCAAGGGCUCAUGGGGCACCAGUCUGUCCUAGGGCUUCCCAGGUGUUAACCCUCUCAGCAGUCCGACCAAGUAGGUACUGUCACCACCUCCAUUUUAGACAACUAACUGGUCUCAGAGAGGUUAAGUAAUUGACCCAGUGCCACACAGCUAACGAGUACAGGCCAGGGUUUCUUACCACGACAUCACCUAACAGAAGUGCGGGAGAUUGGAUGACCACACGGAGAACCCACUGGCUGCUCGCAACCGGCCCACAUGCAAGACAGUUAACGGAUACCUGGGGCAGGUAAGUGACUGGCCCAAGUCACUCAGCAAGCAGACAGUAGAGCUGGGUUUUCACCCCGGGUGUCAUGC